rnacentral:rRNA from 2 species
AACGACUCUCGGCAACGGAUAUCUUGGCUCUCGCAUCGAUGAAGAACGCAGCAAAAUGCGAUACUUGGUGUGAAUUGCAGAAUCCCGUGAAUCAUCGAGUUUUUGAACGCAAGUUGCGCCCAAAGCCUUCUGGCCGAGGGCACGUCUGCCUGGGUGUCACGC